rnacentral:rRNA from 1 species
GACGAACGCUGGCGGCGUGCUUAACACAUGCAAGUCGAACGGUGAAGGGACUGGUUUUGCUGGUCCUGGAUGAGCGGCGAACGGGUGAGUAACACGUGAGUAACCUGCCCCCUUCUUCUGGAUAACCGCAUGAAAGUGUGGCUAAUACGGGAUAUUCUGGGUCUGUCGCAUGGUGGGCCUGGGAAAGAUUGCGCCUUUUUUGGUGUUUUUGGUGGGGGAUGGGCUCGCGGCCUAUCAGCUUGUUGGUGGGGUGAUGGCCUACCAAGGCGGUGACGGGUAGCCGGCCUGAGAGGGUGGACGGUCACACUGGGACUGAGACACGGCCCAGACUCCUACGGGAGGCAGCAGUGGGGAAUAUUGCACAAUGGGCGCAAGCCUGAUGCAGCGACGCCGCGUGAGGGAUGGAGGCCUUCGGGUUGUGAACCUCUUUCGCCAGUGAAGCAGGCCUGCCUCUUUUUGUGGGUGGGUUGACGGUAGCUGGAUAAGAAGCGCCGGCUAACUACGUG